rnacentral:rRNA from 1 species
UACGUAGGGUGCAAGCGUUGUCCGGAAUUAUUGGGCGUAAAGAGCUCGUAGGCGGUGUGUCACGUCGUUCGUGAAAACCUGCAGCUUAACUGUGGGCGUGCGGUCGAUACGGGCAUCACUGGAGUUCGGCAGGGGAGAAUGGAAUUCCCGGUGUAGCGGUGAAAUGCGCAGAUAUCGGGAAGAACACCCGUGGCGAAGGCGGUUCUCUGGGACGGUACUGACGCUGAGACGCGAAAGCGUGGGGAGCGAACAGG